GAUGAACGCUGGCGGCGUGCCUAAUACAUGCAAGUCGAGCGAACGGACGAGAAGCUUGCUUCUCUGAUGUUAGCGGCGGACGGGUGAGUAACACGUGGAUAACCUACCUAUAAGACUGGGAUAACUUCGGGAAACCGGAGCUAAUACCGGAUAAUAUUUUGAACCGCAUGGUUCAAAAGUGAAAGACGGUCUUGCUGUCAUUUAUAGAUGGAUCCGCGCUGCAUUAGCUAGUUGGUAAGGUAACGGCUUACCAAGGCAACGAUGCAUAGCCGACCUGAGAGGGUGAUCGGCCACACUGGAACUGAGACACGGUCCAGACUCCUACGGGAGGCAGCAGUAGGGAAUCUUCCGCAAUGGGCGAAAGCCUGACGGAGCAACGCCGCGUGAGUGAUGAAGGUCUUCGGAUCGUAAAACUCUGUUAUUAGGGAAGAACAUAUGUGUAGGUAACUGUGCACAUCUUGACGGUACCUAAUCAGAAAGCCACGGCUAACUACGUG
rnacentral:rRNA from 1 species